CACGAAGCACAGGUGUCACCUCUGAUCCAGCAGCUCGAGCGGCGCGCGCGCAUGUGUGUGUGAAAUGAGCGCGUGAGAACGCGAGAGGCUGGUUUUUGGAUCUGCUAACACCUGUCGUGCUAAAAUUCGUGUUACAUGGGAUUGUAAAUCAGCUCCGGGAAAAGCGCGUGCCAGAGAGCGAGAGAGAGAGAGACUCGCUGUCCAGCGCACCUCUGACCUUCUGGUGCUGAUUCCAGGUGUCUUAAUUACUCUGAGGAAGUGGCGUUCUGGCUGGCGGUCAGCUGCUGCGACGGGUCCAUUUGCAUGUCUGUGUAGUGAGAGGUUGGCAGCGAAUCCUCCCGUCCAGAUUGCGGCCCCUCUCCGCGGUGAGACCGCCUUGGAGGAGACUGCGUUGUGGGAUUAGGGUUUUAGCAGCGAAGGUCCCCGGAGACGCUCACGCUGGGCCGCUGUCCGUGAUGCAUUAAUCAUGUCCGAAUCCUCAAGACAAAGAGCCACGCGUUUCUCGUCUGCAUGUGAAAUGAUGCGACGCGGGCCUGCCACGAGGUUAAACUCUCAAACGUGCUCUUUGAUGGGCUUUAAUGAGAUGUCAGCGCCCAGACGGAUUUCUCUGCUGUCCCGUAAAACAGGCCACGGAGCACGAAGCCGCAUCUCUGUGAUCUGCUCAAAAACACACCUAGAUGUGUCGCAACACUUUCACACAAUCACCGCGUCAGGAGUGUGACGUCUGUCAAGCAGGAUUUAAGUUGAGUUUAUGCAAAGAGGCACCCCAGACAGCAAGCAGUUUCGGUCCAGAUCCGGCCCACAUCCGGCCCCCCAUGGAUUUCACACAGGCCAGAUGUGGGCCGGAUCUGGGCCAACACUAUGUUGUUAUCUGAGACUAAACUGAAAGCCCUUUCAGAUCAGAACCGUGAGUCAAACCUGCUUCAUACUCAUCAACUUCU
ensembl:lncRNA